GACGAACGCUGGCGGCGUGCCUAAUACAUGCAAGUCGAACGCACUCUCGUUUAGAUUGAAGGAGCUUGCUCCUGAUUGAUAAACAUUUGAGUGAGUGGCGGACGGGUGAGUAACACGUGGGUAACCUGCCCUAAAGUGGGGGAUAACAUUUGGAAACAGAUGCUAAUACCGCAUAAAACCUAACACCGCAUGGUGUAGGGUUGAAAGAUGGUUUCGGCUAUCACUUUAGGAUGGACCCGCGGUGCAUUAGUUAGUUGGUGAGGUAAAGGCUCACCAAGACCGUGAUGCAUAGCCGACCUGAGAGGGUAAUCGGCCACACUGGGACUGAGACACGGCCCAGACUCCUACGGGAGGCAGCAGUAGGGAAUCUUCCACAAUGGACGAAAGUCUGAUGGAGCAACGCCGCGUGAGUGAAGAAGGUUUUCGGAUCGUAAAACUCUGUUGUUGGAGAAGAAUGUAUCUGAUAGUAACUGAUCAGGUAGUGACGGUAUCCAACCAGAAAGCCC
rnacentral:rRNA from 1 species